CCUACGGGCGGCUGCAGUGGGGAAUAUUGCACAAUGGGCGCAAGCCUGAUGCAGCCAUGCCGCGUGUGUGAAGAAGGCCUUCGGGUUGUAAAGCACUUUCAGCGGGGAGGAAGGCGGUGAGGUUAAUAACCUCAUCGAUUGACGUUACCCGCAGAAGAAGCACCGGCUAACUCCGUGCCAGCAGCCGCGGUAAUACGGAGGGUGCAAGCGUUAAUCGGAAUUACUGGGCGUAAAGCGCACGCAGGCGGUCUGUCAAGUCGGAUGUGAAAUCCCCGGGCUCAACCUGGGAACUGCAUUCGAAACUGGCAGGCUAGAGUCUUGUAGAGGGGGGUAGAAUUCCAGGUGUAGCGGUGAAAUGCGUAGAGAUCUGGAGGAAUACCGGUGGCGAAGGCGGCCCCCUGGACAAAGACUGACGCGCAGGUGCGAAAGCGUGGGGAGCAAACAGGAUUAGAUACCCCGGUAGUC
rnacentral:rRNA from 1 species